AUCGCUUCUUGGCCUUUUGGCUAAGAUCAAGUGUAGUAUCUGUUCUUAUCAGUUUAAUACAACAGGGGUCUAGCUUCAAUACACACAUUUGUGUGAUUUUUAUCUUUCAUUUUUUUUGAUGUGAUGAAUUACAUUUAUUGAUUUGCAUCUGUUGAAUAAUCCCUGCAUCCCAGGGAUAAAUCUCA